UGCGAGCAGAAGGAAGAGUCAGCGCUUAGAGGAGCUGCCUAUGAGAAACAUCAGGGAGAAACAGGAACUGCGGUUGCAUUCUGUGGUAUCAAGUGGAAGUGAGCAGUCCUGGGAUUCUGAGAAAUUGAGCACCAAACCAAUUCAGAAUUUGUCAUCAAGCCCCAGAGCAAUAUUUGGAGACUCUUCAUGUCCUUUACACAGGAAAAGGUCCCAGC